rnacentral:rRNA from 1 species
UACGUAGGGGGCAAGCGUUGUCCGGAUUUAUUGGGCGUAAAGAGCGUGUAGGCGGUUUGGUAGGUCCGCUGUGAAAACUCGAGGCUCAACCUCGAGACGCCGGUGGAAACCAUCAGACUAGAGUCCGGAAGAGGAGAGUGGAAUUCCUGGUGUAGCGGUGAAAUGCGCAGAUAUCAGGAAGAACACCCGUGGCUAAGGCGGCUCUCUAGUACGGUACUGACGCUGAGGAGCGAAAGCCAGGGGAGCAAACGGG